UAGUUUAUGGUUUGAGGGGUGGGUGUAUAUAGUAAGGUUUAGGUGUGAAAAAGAGAAAUUACAAAAGUCAUAAACCCUCUUUUGUGUUGAAACUCUCUCCCUCAACACACUUCUUCAUAGUUCUCUCUUCUCCAAGAACCACCGUUAGAGAACCUUGAAUCUUGGUGUUGUACAAAAAGAACUCAUUUCUCCUCUCUAUAGUGGUUGUUGAUUGGCCCUAAGUGAGAUAAUCUCUCAUUCUUUCUCUCUUUGAAUUCAUUUUCAUUUUCCCUAGAGCAACCAUGAACUUUCAUGGAAAAGCUUGAUUUUAAGGGGUUUUGAUUUUGUUUUUGGUUGGCUUUGGGGUUGGGUUGGGUUGAUGAUGGUUUAGUGUGCUUGUUGUGGGAUUGAAGGAAAGUUUCUCACUUGGACCCAAAACUUGCUCCUUUUUCUUUUCUUCUUCAAAGAGUCAUCAUAUUGGGUUUGAUAGGAAUUCAACAUACAAGUAUUUGGUGAGUUAUUUGCAGGAAUUCAAGGUGUUGGAAUGUCUUGUUAUGCUUAUUGAACUAUAUGUGGGUUCAUGAGUCUGAUGAACAUAUAAAUGGCAUAUAAGUUGGGGGUGCUAAGAAGGCCUUUGAUGUGAACCUGAGUAGGAGCGGAUCGUUUGAUACAUGUUACAGAGAUUUGGAUGA